rnacentral:rRNA from 1 species
CAAUAGCGUAUAUUAAAGCUGUUGCGGUUAAAAAGCUCGUAGUUGGAUUUCUGUCAAGGACAACUGGUCCGCCCUCCGGGUGAGCACAUAGUUUGGUCUUGACAUCUUGCUGGAAGCUGUUGCUGCACUUGGCUGUGUGGCGCAGUGUUCAGCACUUUCACUUUGAGGAAAUUGGAGUGUUUCAAGCAGGCACAUGCCUUUGGACACAGUAGCAUGGAAUAAUUAGAUUGGGCUUUUGCUCCAAUUUGUCGGUUUCUGGAGCUGAGGUGAGUAUUAAUGGGGAUUGUUGGGGGCAUCCGAAUUUAGCCGUCAGAGGUGAAAUUCUUGGAUCUGCUAAAGACGGACAACUGCGAAAGCGUUUGCCCAGGAUGUUUUCAUUG